UGAAUACGAGGCACUAAGGUGCUGAAGUAGUGUAUGUCAUACUUCCAAGAAAAGCUUCACUAUCGUAAGAUAAAAAUGCCUGUACCAUAACCGACACAGGUGGGUAGGUAGAGUAUACUAAGGGGCGCGAGAUAACUCUCUCUAAGGAACUCGGCAAAAUAACUCCGUAACUUCGGGAGAAGGAGUGCCUUAUUCUAUAAGGUUGCAAUAACAAGAUCCAAGCAACUGUUUAUCAAAAACACAGGUCUCCGCUAAGUCGUAAGACGAUGUAUGGGGGCUGACGCCUGCCCAGUGCCAGAAGGUUAAAGAAGUCGGUUAGCAAUUGCGAAGCUGGUAACUGAAGCCCUGGUGAACGGCGGCCGUAACAAUAACGGUCCUAAGGUAGCGAAAUUCCUUGUCGGGUAAGUUCCGACCCGCACGAAAGGCGUAAUGAUUUGGAUACUGUCUCGGAGAGGGACUCGGUGAAAUAGACUUGUCUGUGAAGAUGCGGACUACCUGCACCAGGACAGAAAGACCCUAUGAAGCUUUACUGUAACUUGAAAUUGAAAUUGGACUUUAUUCGCGCAGUAUAGGUGGGAGGCGUUGAUUAUAAUCUUGUGGGAUUAUUGGAGCCAUUAGUGAGAUACCACUCUUGUAAUGUUAGAUUUCUAACUUUGAAUCAUGAUCUGGUCAAAGAACAGUUUCAGGCGGGCAGUUUGACUGGGGCGGUCGCCUCCUAAAUGGUAACGGAGGCGUACAAAGGUUUCCUCUGAACGGGUAGAAAUCGUAUCUAGAGUGUAAAGGCAUAAGGAAGCUUGACUGUGAGACCUACAAGUCGAGCAGGGACGAAAGUCGGUCUUAGUGAUCUGACGGUACUGAGUGGAAAGGCCGUCACUCAACGGAUAAAAGUUACUCUAAGGAUAACAGGCUGAUCUCCCCCAAGAGUUCACAUCGACGGGGAGGUUUGGCACCUCGAUGUCGGCUCAUCGCAUCCUGGGGCGGUAGUACGUCCCAAGGGUUGGGCUGUUCGCCCAUGAAAGCGGUACGCGAGCUGGGUUCAGAACGUCGUGAGACAGUUCGGUCCAUAUCCGGUGUAGGCGUUAGAAUAUUGAGAGGAGCCUUCUUUAGUACGAGAGGACCGAGAAGGACAUACCUCUGGUGUACCAGUUAUCGUGCCAACGGUAAACGCUGGGUAGCUAUGUAUGGAGUGGAUAACCGCUGAAAGCAUCUAAGUGGGAAGCCCACCUCAAGAUAAGUAUUCUCAC
rnacentral:rRNA from 1 species